GGAGGUGUAGCUCAGAGGUAGAGCAUUUGCCUAGUACACAUGAGACCCUGGGUCCAAUCCCCAGUACCUCAU
rnacentral:tRNA from 1 species